GAAAUGCGAUAAGUAAUGUGAAUUGCAGAAUUCAGUGAAUCAUCGAAUCUUUGAACGCACAUUGCGCCCGGCAGCAAUCUGCCGGGCAUGCCUGUCCGAGCGUCAUUUCUGCCCUCGAGCGCGGUUCGGCCCCUAGCGGGCCGGCCGCCGCCCGGUGUUGGGGCGCUGCGGGCCCUCGUGCCCGCAGGCCCUGAAAUGAAGUGGCGGUCCCGCCGCGGCUCCCCCUGCGUAGUAGUAAAGCACCUCGCAUCGGGUCCCGGCGGAGGCCAGCCGUCGAACCUCUCUUUUGAUGGUUUGACCUCGGAUCAGGUAGGGUUACCCGCUGAACUUAAGC
rnacentral:misc_RNA from 1 species